rnacentral:lncRNA from 1 species
GUGCGGUGAUUCCACAAAUUUGUAGCUACUAUCCAAAGGACAAUGGUCAAAAGCACAAUUUUCUAACUCUAAUCGUCAGAUGUCAUCAUGUUGAUCUAUUCUGUAAUUAUUCUUCUACUUUCUUCAUUUGGGUUCUUGUUGCUAUCAGAUGGAUGAUAACCAAAGAAAAACUUCUGAAAGUAUGCCCCUUGCGGACAAUGAGGAGGUAGAUGUACGUGAGACGAUCAAGAGUUUUGAUAAAUAAAUUAAAGUCCCAACUAAAUGGAUAAAUGAUAUUGAGGCUCAAAAAGGAAGGUGUUGAGAAGAGGCGUACUAAAGCACUGAAAGUGUUUGCUUAGAUCCAACUUGAUUUGAGAGAUAUAAAAACAUGAUUGUGAAUGAGAGGCGAGCAAAGGUAUGCAUGUCUGAGCUUGUUAAUGAAUUAUAGUUAGUUAUAUAUAUUGUUGUUGUGCUUAAAACAAUCUAUUGUUAGGAAGAAGCAGCGAGGGAUUUAUAGAGAGUGAAGAGGGAGAGUGAAAAGUCGAGGUCUGAAUUGGCUGAAAUUAGUAAGAUGCAUCAGGCCCAAUUAACUGUGAAUUGGCUGAAAACUUCGAUGCAGAAAGAGCUUACAGCUCAUUGGAGUGCAAAAGAGCACCUUCUUUACCCUCUCACUACUUCUAUAUUAUUGUACCCUUCUUUUUCGAAAAAAGAUGGCACCUUUGCCCCAUCUUCUGAGUUAGAACUGAGCAAGAUGUGUAAUUUCACUGAGAUGCAGGUUUAUGUAUAUUUGAAUAUGCAUAUGCGUCCUUUAUUUUCUGUGCUAGGAAAAAUCUAGGAGCUAACUUCAAGUUCAAACAAAAUGAAAACUGAGAAAUUGUGCCUACUAAUUUGUCUUCAGUGAUACACAUUCCUCGGGCCUGUUUCGAACUCAGUAGAUUCCUGAGAUACUUUAUGGUCAAGCUAUGACUUUGCUAUUUUUGCUUGCUAAAUUUGUAGAGACUAUCUUGCUUUUAUUUUCAGGACAUGUGCGACAAUAUGGUUUAGAGGAAUGGUGAGCUGAAGAAGAAGAUGUUAUCAUUCAAGGUACGGACAUGUAGCUAGACAUGAGACUGUCUUCUCCAUCAGAACCAACUAUUGCAUUGUAAUUUGUAACCAAGUAGGAAUGCUUUUAAGGUCCAAUUCUCUGCAUACUCUGUAGGUCCAGUUCAUGCAUAUACUGUCCUGUUGGCUCAAUGCAGCUCUGAGUAUUCCUCCAACGCCACUGCCAAGCUACAGUUGUCGCUGCACAGUGGCCCCAGCCCGAGGUUGCCUCUGCAGCCACGAAAGUUGUUUAACACCACUGCAACUACUGGAAGCUACUACGGUUCUCUGGCCUGACUCGACACCAUGUGGUUUACUUUUCUAUGUUGUUGCUGAUUUCUC